rnacentral:rRNA from 1 species
AUUGAACGCUGGCGGCAGGCCUAACACAUGCAAGUCGAACGAGUGGCGGACGGGUGAGUAAUGUCUGGGAAACUGCCAGAUGGAGGGGGAUAACUACUGGAAAAGGUAGCUAAUACCGCAUACCAUCGGAUGUGCCCAGAUGGGAUUAGCUAGUAUGUGGGGUAACGGCUCACCGAGGCGACGAUCCCUAGGCGGUCUGACAGGAGGCCGAGGAACACUGGAACGGGGACACGGACCGGACGCCACGGGGAGGCAGCAGUGGGGAAUAUUGCACAAUGGGCGAAAGCGUGAUGCAGGCAUGCCGCGUGUAGGAAGAAGGCGUUCGGGUUGGAAAGGACGUUCAGCGGGGAGGCGUUACUCGCAGAAGAAGCCCCGGCUAACUCCGUGCCAGCAGCCGCGGUAAUAC